rnacentral:rRNA from 4 species
UACGGAGGUGGCAAGCGUUGCUCGGAAUCACUGGGCGUAAAGGGCGCGUAGGCGGGGAGGUAAGUCGGGUGUGAAAUCCCUCGGCCCAACCGAGGAACUGCGCCCGAGACUGCUUCUCUUGAGUCCCGGAGAGGAAGGUGGAAUUCCCGGUGUAGCGGUGAAAUGUGUAGAGAUCGGGAGGAACACCGGUGGCGAAGGCGGCCUUCUGGACGGUGACUGACGCUGAGGCGCGAAAGCGUGGGGAGCAAACGGG